AGAGUUUGAUCAUGGCUCAGAAUCAACGCUGGCGGCGUGCCUAACACAUGCAAGUCGAACGAGAAAGUGGAGCAAUCCAUGAGUACAGUGGCGCACGGGUGAGUAACACGUGACUAACCUACCCUUGAGUGGGGGAUAACUUCGGGAAACCGAGGCUAAUACCGCAUAAUACCUACGGGUCAAAGGAGCAAUUCGCUUAAGGAGGGGGUCGCGGCAGAUUAGUUAGUUGGCGGGGUAAUGGCCCACCAAGACAGUGAUCUGUAUCCGGCCUGAGAGGGCGCACGGACACACUGGAACUGAAACACGGUCCAGACUCCUACGGGAGGCAGCAGUGGGGAAUUUUGCGCAAUGGGGGAAACCCUGACGCAGCAACGCCGCGUGGAGGAUGAAGUCCUUCGGGACGUAAACUCCUUUCGAUCGGGACGAUAAUGACGGUACCGAGAGAAGAAGCCCCGGCUAACUUCGUGCCAGCAGCCGCGGUAAUACGAGGGGGGCGAGCGUUGUUCGGAAUUAUUGGGCGUAAAGGGUGCGUAGGCGGUUUGGUAAGUCUGAUGUGAAAUCUAUGGGCUCAACUCAUAGUCUGCAUCGGAAACUGCCGGGCUUGAGUAUGGGAGAGGUGAGUGGAAUUUCCGGUGUAGCGGUGAAAUGCGUAGAUAUCGGAAGGAACACCUGUGGCGAAAGCGGCUCACUGGACCAUAACUGACGCUGAUGCACGAAAGCUAGGGGAGCAAACAGGAUUAGAUACCCUAGUAGUCC
rnacentral:rRNA from 1 species